rnacentral:rRNA from 1 species
AAAUUGAAGAGUUUGAUCAUGGCUCAGAUUGAACGCUGGCGGCAGGCCUAACACAUGCAAGUCGAACGGUAACAGGAAGCAGCUUGCUGCUUUGCUGACGAGUGGCGGACGGGUGAGUAAUGUCUGGGAAACUGCCCGAUGG